rnacentral:rRNA from 1 species
AAAGGAAUAGACGGGGGCCCGCACAAGCGGAGGAACAUGUGGUUUAAUUCGAUGAUACGCGAGGAACCUUACCCGGGCUUGAACUAUGGUGGACGAUAGUAGAGAUAUUAUUUCCCUUCGGGGCCGCCAUGGAGGUGCUGCAUGGUUGUCGUCAGCUCGUGCCGUGAGGUGUCGGCUUAAGUGCCAUAACGAGCGCAACCCCUGUUUCCAGUUGCCAUCAAUUCGGUUGGGCACUCUGGAGAGACUGCCGUCGCAAGGCGUGAGGAAGGUGGGGAUGACGUCAAAUCAGCACGGCCCUUACGUCCGGGGCUACACACGUGUUACAAUGGGGGGCACAGCGCGCCGCUACCGGGCGACCGGAUGCGAAUCGUGAAAUCCCCUCUCAGUUCGGACUGGAGUCUGCAACCCGACUCCACGAAGCUGGAUUCGCUAGUAAUCGCGCAUCAGCCAUGGCGCGGUGAAUACGUUCCCGGGCCUUGUACACACCGCCCGU